rnacentral:rRNA from 1 species
CGGAUGGGGCUAGCGUUGUUCGGAAUUACUGGGCGUAAAGCGCACGUAGGCGGACCGGAAAGUUGGAGGUGAAAUCCCAGGGCUCAACCUUGGAACUGCCUUCAAAACUAUCGGUCUGGAGUUCGAGAGAGGUGAGUGGAAUUCCGAGUGUAGAGGUGAAAUUCGUAGAUAUUCGGAGGAACACCAGUGGCGAAGGCGGCUCACUGGCUCGAUACUGACGCUGAGGUGCGAAAAGCGUGGGGAGCAAACAGGAUU